CACUUUCCUGUCCGCGCCUAUACCUAUCGACACUAUGCUGUUGAUGGUUUCAAUUUAAAUUUUACCGCGUUCGGAGCGCUUACGGACAGCUAGCGCCAUCCAGCGCAUAAAAAGAGCACUAUUUUUCAAGUUUCGCUUUUGUGUUUCCUUUUUCACCGCGGCGGAAUUUUUAAAGCGCCUUUUAAUCAUGCUUUACGAACGCUUGUAGUUUCCGACAUGGCGUCAACGUCGCGCACACCUGCUCCUCGGAAACAGCGAAUUUCAAUGAAUUCCGAUGAGCUUGCGUAAGAAUUUUGUGAUGGUGGUAGCAGCAGAGACUCGGGAGAUGAUUUUGAUUCAUCCGACUUCAGCAUGGACGGUGAAAGUGCGUCAAGUAGCCCCGGAACGUCGACAGGCAUCUGCCAGGUGUCAACAACGUUCGGACAGGAUCACUUGUCGGCGGCAGCACAAAGAGUGGAGUUUUGCGCGAGAAGACGGCCGGGAGUUGACCUCAGCGCUGCGCUCCGCAGUGUGGCGCGGGGCUUUGUAAGAGCCAUGGGUUUCUUGUGCUGUUCUUCACCGCAGAAAUAAGCACAGAGAGAUGCAACAUGACUAAUAAAUAUGCGUGGAUGCAUAUUUUGGAGAAGCAGUCAUACAGGUGAGAGAGACGGAUCAUGGAAGGAAGUGACUCCCGAUGAGAUGAAGUUUAUCGGACUUUUCAUUUACAUGGGUAUCAUUUACAUGGGUACCAAGGGUCCUCCUGCUGUUCUCACUACAAGUGCCCCUAAGGAUCAACAGCACAAGCCAUAGAAGCUACAAAGAUACAGGAAUUGCAAAUUGUGCCAUCAAGAACGGAAAGUUGAACAAAAAACUAAUGUUUUCUGCGAGACAUGCUCCGCAAACUUGUGCUUCACCACAUCACGCAACUGCUUUGUGCGGUGGCACAAUAGCCACUAGGGCUAACAUUUUC
rnacentral:lncRNA from 1 species